AAACUGGUGAAACCCUGGACCACCGAAGCAGAGCACGCGAACUUAACCACUCAGCCACGGGGCCAACCCCUACUGGCAGCAUGUGGAGACUCAGAAGCGUGUUGUAGAACAAGAAUAAUCUCAGAUUACUUACCAUGUCACUCAGUGUUCUAAGUGUUCUAACUCUGUGAGGUUGGUACUAUUAUCCCUACUUUAUUGGUAAGGAAACUGAGAAGCUUGACUAAAUUAAGUAAGUGCUAAGGCUAAAAUAAAACCUAGGCAGUUUGAAUCCAGAGUCUAUGCUUUCAUGAAGCAAUGCUGACAUAUCAGACACAGAUAUAAUGACCGCCUUGGUUCCUGAGAGCUUUCCAGUUCCUGAUCUCAGGCCUUUGAGAAGGUCGAGGCUGCUCCGUAUCUUUGAAUUAUUUAUCAUAAUACAAUUUCAUGUCUUUGCUUAAACAAGUUUAAGUGAAUUUCAGCCAAUUGCAACUGGAAGAGUCCUGCUCCAGUUUGACUGUGAAUGGGGUUGGAAAUAACAAACCCCAGAGAAAGUGAAACUGGCUGAAUCAAGGUAGAGUAGCAGGCAAUAAAGACUUUCCUGCCCUAAAAUGGGAACUUGUUUUUUUUGUGUGUGUUGUGAAAUAGUAAAUCAUUUACACAGCUUUCUCCAACACUGUCUUAGAACUCAGACUAUAUAGCACUGAGGUAGGGCAUUAGAGAACUUAGUAGCCAAAUAUAAAAAAUGUGAAGUGCAUCAGUUACUACAUGUGGAGUUUUGAAAAGUACAUUAGGAAAGAGGAAUUCUAAACAAAGUUCUCAAAUGAAAGUAGAUUGGAGCGAAUAUGACAAUUUGUGCCAAAUUUAGCAAAUUUGACAAUUAUUGGCAGCCAGUUUGCCUUCAGUCUGAGAAUAUAUAACCAGGUCAAGAAAUUACUCAAGGGGCUCAAUUAAUUGCAAAAUAAGUUUUUUGCCACCUUGUUUCUAACACCAAAGAUUUUACGUUGAAUGCCAGAAAGUGAAAUUUUAGUAAUAGAAAUAGGACUCACAAGGAGGAACAAAUGAUAUUAAGGAACUCUAAUUCCUCAGCUCCCUCCAAAAUAUUUUCCACUGUCCAUCCCCUUCCAUGCCUCACAAAAGUGGAUGAUCCUUCACAGUGUCUGUCAGUAGCCCCUAGGGUUGGAAUGCACUGUGUGUCCGGAGAUAUUACUAAAUGGCAAACUACAAGCUGCCAUGCUCACUCUCUUGUUUGCUUUAAGGCCAAAGCAGAGAACAAUGAGGAUGGGCAGAGUCCCAGCUGUUGCUAAGAAACAGAAGUCCAGAAGAAUUGACAACUUAAGAAGAAACCUGACCCACUAAGGUCUUCAGCAUUAGCUAAAUACAAAAGGAAUCUCCCUAAAAGAAAAUUGGCAGGCAAUCCUCCACAGUGGAGCAGUUGCAUGCCAUAAAACCCGAAGUCUGCAGUUGACUCAGACCACAGGCUAUCUCAACUCCUCAAGCACCUCCUGUUCACCAGUACAAAAGAAUCUGCACCAGCGGUGCCAAAGCAGCACUGAUUCGGGUGCCCAGUAUUUCCCAAACCUCUGAGCGAGGCAGCUCUCCUCUAUUCUGUGAAAGGCUCCUCCUCUCAGGCGAGGACCCAGGUCCCUGGAGGAAGACUCUCUCUUUGGCUCUUCUCACUUGUUUGCUCUGAUGAAGCAAGCUGGCAUGUUGUGAACUAUCUUAUGGAGGUGCCAGCAUGAUAAAGAACUGAGGACGGCAUCAGGCCAACAGUCCUGUCCCAUGGAAUGCAUUUUCCAAUGGCUCAAGUCUGUGACAGGUGAUCUAAUGUGCCCUCAUAGUGUGCACCUAUUAUCUAUUUUGCAGUUGAUGAUUUACUCCACUAAAUUAUAUGCCCUUUGAGAGAAGGAACUGCCAUUAUUCGUAGAGUCAGUUUAAUGGUUAUGAAUAUGUCCGUUGCUAUCUGUGAGCCCUGGGUUCCAGUUCCAAUUUGCCAUUCAUAAGGUGUGUGACCCUGGAUGAGCUAUUUAUACUUCUUGAAUGUUAGUUUCUUUUAAAAAGUGGGAAAAAUAGUAUUACCUAACACAAGUAUUUUGUAGAUGAAAUUUUACAUAUACAAAGCACUGUGCUCAGAGGUUGGAGAAUAUUACAUGCUCAAUAAUUAUUACAGAGUAUUCCCAACCGAUGCAGAAUGAAUCUUUCAGUUCCCAUACGUACCUAUUGGACUUGGACACUGAACAAGGUUUCGGAACUAUGUAAUCAUCUUGAAUAGCUGACUCACAAGAAACAGUGUUAAUCUUGAAGCAAGUGAAUGAACAAAGGGCAAUGAGCAAAAUCUGACAAUCAGUUUUGGUUGCCAUGCCGUUGCAAACAUUACCCUACUACCCACUCACAUAUCAUCAUAUUGAAUAAGUUAUAAUAUUGAUAUAAAAUUGCUUUCAAAAUACUGAAAUUGAGAGUUGUUCUAACAGUUAGCCUGCCCUGAGUAAUAAGGAUAUUGCUGAGAAAAUGAAGUCCAAGCUCAUUUUUAUGGCACGGAGUUUUUCAUGGUCCUUUGUCUGUCUUCUUCUCCUACCCUAGCUUUCUGUGAGCUCCAUUCCACAUUUUUGGGCUCCUGUCACAUGCAGUUUUAUUGCAAACACCCUCAUCCAAUAGUUUCUGGUCCUCCCAAUUUACAUAGCAAACACUUUCAAGAUCCAGAUCAAAAUUUAUUUCUGCUGAUAAGAGUUUUCCUAUAAUCUAGUAUAUAAUUUAUCAUUUUAUUUUUUGUGUUCCUACAAUACACUAUAGAUUUCAUGGCAUAUUUCUUCAUAUGAAUACGUUUCCCUGUUAGACUGUAAACCAUAUGAGGGCAAACCUUUGUAUAUAGCAUGUACUUACUAUAUCUAAGCAAAGAAACAAAUGAUAUAGUAAUCUAAGCAUAUUUAAGGGACAUUAGCAACAGGAAUGCUUGCAUUUCAACUCCACUUGUUCUCCAUGCACAUUAAUAUACAACUAUCUCUUUUUCAUAUUUUCAGAAGAGUCCUUAGGUUCUUAAAUGUGUCUUUUGAUAUGUAGGUCAGUGUACUUGACUUAAGUGAUCUGGGAAGAUAAUCUCUACAAGAAUAGAGAGAAUGUGCUUAUAACACUUAGGGAUCUUUUAUUUUAAUGGAGAUCUUAUUCUCUCUUAAACACAAUCAAUACAUUGCCCAGAUGACUAAGGUAAUAAAAUAUGAGAACAAUGAAAACGAAAACAGAAUUUCCACACAAGGCCAAUGGGACAGUAUCCAAUUUGUUUAUGAAAAGAGUUUAUACAGUUUGGCCAACAUAAGCACACUGAAUUAAGACUUAGGACCAUGAUUCAAGUUAAAUCGGACCAACUGUAUGAGUGACUUAUUCUGAGGUCAAACUCAGAUGAAUACUGCCUGAGGGAGAACCACUGCAGAGCUAGAAUAUACUUAUCCAUUCUGCUCAGAAGGAAAAGAAACAAAAUGGAAAUUUGUCCUAGCCUGUUUGGGUCGUUUCCUCUGUCUCACAUGUGUUUGAGAGGUGGACAUAUUCUCAUUCUCCUGAUUUCUCUUAUCCAUCUUCUCUGCCCUGAUCAAAUGAGCAAAGCUGAGUUAUGGUUGCCCUUUCUGAAACACUCACGUAAUUGCUCCCUGCUCCUCCCCUGUCCAAGGAGUUGUUCACUUGUGAAGGUUGAGACCUGAAUUGCAGUCCAGCCUCUACUCAUUAGCAAAAUGAUCUUGGACAAGUUUCUUAAACUCCUUGAAGCACAGUUUCUGCCUUUGCAAAGUGAGAUUACAUCUCCUUACAGAGUGUUUGUGUGAACCAAAUGGUAGAAUGCACAUGAAAGCAGCAAGUAAACUGCAAAACACUACGCAAACACGAGUUCAGUGCUAUAAAUCGGUGCUACGCUGUGAGCACCAGUAGGCAGGAGUGGUGUUCUUUGUCUCUAACUUUCCAGUAUUUUUCUUUUAAGGGUGAUAUUGGUAGAGGGGACCUGUUCUGUUACCAUGUGUUGAGAGACAGAAUGUGAAUUGGGGACAUGUCAUGUUGCAGUCCACUCACUGAACAACCUCUGGGGUAAUAGUCUGUGUAUAGACCCACAUGUUCUGUGUAGCUGAGAGUUUAGUCUUUUAAAUCUCAACACUUUAAAAAUAUUUCUUGAUGGAAAUAUUUUCAAAAUAUAUUUAAUGGGGAAGGAGCUAGUGAAGGAGAGAUGGAUUAUUUAUUGUGAACAGAAGGAAAUAUAAAAGAUAUUCCAGCUCUACCUUAUUGCCUUGUAAAGAGCAUACUCACCAUAAUUUUCCAUUUUAUUGGUAAUUCAGGGACAUAAUUAGGAAUAUUAGUUAUACUGUGCUAUAACACUAUGAUGACUUCAGGGAAUAUGCUGUGUAUUGGGUUAUUUGCCUUUAUAUCGAAUACUUCCAAAUUGUUGUAUAUUUUGAAAUUUGAUUGUUUUUAUAAUUUGUAUUUCCUCCUCUGCUAUCACUUCUCUUCACUCUGGAGCAGUACCUGUGCUAGAUGUUUUCUCCCUUUUAUUUGCUGCUUUCUCAUAGAAGUCACGAGAGAGCCAAUGUACUCCAAAUCAGCUCACCUGUCUCAGCAGAGGCUCGCUGGGCACUCUAGGACUCUGAGUAUCCCAGAGGGACCUCCAACCUCCUUCACCGCCGUCUGACACUCAGAACCUCUCCCCCACACUGUGUCUUAGGAUAGUCAAGACUAAUCAUCAGGACAAGCCACUUAGUAAAUUGCAACUGCAUUCUUCUAGUUGCUAAGGCAAAAAAUCUUGGAGUCAUCUUUGAUUUUUCUCAUUUGCUUACAACCUAUGUCUAAUCUGUAAAGAAAUCUUACUGGUUGUGCUUUCACAUAUAACCACAAUCUGACCAUCCUACAUAGCUCCUUCCUUCACCUCCUGUAUGUCUUUACUCCAGUGUCACUUUCUCAAUGGAAGUCACGAUAAGUCACUUUGGACCCUCACACCCAACCACAGCAUUCUCUAUCCCCCUUUCCUCUUGCAUGUUUAUUCUUUAUUCCUCAUUACUAUUUAACAUCCUGUAUAUUUUACUUCUGUGCCUUUUAUAUUGUCCAUCACAGCAAAGAUUUUUGCUUGUUUCAUUUGCUGCUGUAUCCCCAAUGUUUAAAACAGUGCCUGACACAUAGUUGGAAUUUAAUAAAUAUUUGCUGGAUGAAUGAAUAAAAAAGUUAGUACUGAGAAUUAGGAAAAGUAAGAUAUUUAGAUCCAUAUGUACAAGAGCAAAUAGGCCCUUGGUUAUUAUCUCCAUGGUUCCCCUGUGAGUAAAAUUUUAGUUUUAUGAAGUAGCAGCUUAAUAACAAUAAUAACAACAGAGUACCUAUUAUGUGCAGAAGCCAUCCCACAUGCUUUAUUCACUUCUUAUUUAAGCUGUACAACCAUAAGAAAUAGUUAUCAUUAUCUCUGUUUUACAGAUGAGGCUAAGCAACUUCUUCAAAAUCACCUUGGUAGCAAGUGAUUAUGCUGGGAUUCAAAAUCAGUUCCAUCUGACUCCAGAGUUCCAUUUUAUUCCACUGUAAUACAUGGCUUACUUUUUGGAUCUUGGCUGGUGUUUUGGUAAAUGGGGGUAUUAACAUAGGCCAUAAACUAGGCGGAAAAACUGAAUGGUAUGCCAUUAAACCUGUUGAGUUCACCAUUUUCUUUAUUGCACAAAUUUCGGUAUAAUGAAAUUUUAAUAUCUUCUUUAUUUGUGGGGAGACCUGAACAGUCAAAAUGUAGGGUGAGCAUUGUUCACAUUUUUAAUUGAAAGUUAAAGGUUGUCCUGUAUCAAAAUGCAUGCAUGUAAUACUACAAACAGGUGUGCUUGACCUUUUUUAGUGUAAUAUUUGGUUGUUAAAAACGGAGUUUUAUUUGGUUUGAAUGUCUCUCUUGCAUUUAGGAGGCAAUAAAAAAGCCCUCCUGCAGCUAAUUUAAUAACAGCAAAUUCUCACAGAUGUAAUGCAAAUAUCUGCUGCGAGGCAAAGCCUGCUUCAUUUUAUUUAUUUAUCUCUGCAUUCAUUACAUUGAUUACACUGUAAUGGAAUUCAGGGACCCUAACAAUGGAAGAGAAAAUUGGAUAGGUGCAUGUGAGGGAAAAUUAGUGGGCUAUUUGUCCUGCAUUCAGACCAGACAUGGUGAUUUUUGUUUUGAGCUUUGUAACUCAUUUUCUUUGGAACCACGAUAGCCAACGUAGAUGUCACUCAAUUUCCAAAUGUAACUUGGAACAUUUUUUUUCUUUUGAUACAUUUUUAAUUAUAUGAUAAAAUAUGUUGGUAAAGCAAUCUACAUUCACAUAUAAAACUUCAUUUUCUAGAUCAAAGAAAAUGUUCAUUGUAAAUCGUACAUACUUGAGUAAUUUAAUGACUUAGGAUUUAGGAGAACUGAUUCCUAGUUCCAACUUUUACAUUUUCUUAAUAUUUCUGUGCCUUGAUUUCUUCCUCUGAAAAGUGAGAAUAAUCCUCAUCCUGUUUAUUUUGUGGACAUGUUGAAACUUGCAUCAGGUAAUUUAUGAGAAAUCACUUUGUAAAUUGGAGUGCCAAUGUAAAUGUAAAACGAUAGUGAUUUUAUUACUAUUGUAUCGCUUAAAGGGAUUAGUAAGUGUUUUAUCAACUUUAUACUUUUUCCAAAAAUCGAUUGUUUUGGAUUAUAACAUUCACCUGUUUUGAUUAUUUUUCAGUUAAUGCAGAAUUUUGUGGAGUAUAAGGUAAGCCAUUGAUGGAUUUAAACUAUAGUACUGGUAAUUGAUCAACAUCCUAACGCUUAUUUAGAUGGCAUUUUAUUUUUCACCUUCAUUUUUCUUUUGUCACUAAAAUAAUUAAUGUUGAUGUUUCUAUCGUUUCUAUUUUUUGUGGUUAUAAAUAAGGCAAUAAUGCACACUUGAGUAUAUAUGCCUUUGCAUAUUUGUGUAACUUAAUCCCAAAUUUUCUGGUUUACAUGAUCUGCACUUUAUAAAGGCUUUUGCCUAGAUCCUAUCUGGGUUAAAAAUAGAAGACCCUUUUGUUGGCCUCUCCCAAAUUCUUCACUUUAAAUCUAUAAUUUUAAAUCUACAAGAGGAUCAUCUGAACAUCACAUUCCACAAUAUAUGUAAGUACUGAAACACAAUCAAUUUGUGUGUCAAAAAGAAAAAGAAAACAUAAUCAGACUUUCUGUUAUUGGUUUCUAAUUUAAUUCCAUUGUGGUCAGAGAACAUACUUUGUAUGACCUAUGUCCUUGGUUUUAUGGCCCCAAAUAUGGUCUACCUUAGAAAAUGUUCCGUUUCCACUUAAAAAGAAUGCUUAUUCUGCUGCUGUUGGGUAGAGUGUUCUACAGAUGUCAGUUCUAUAGAUGUCAGAAGUUGGUUGAUAGUGUUGUUCAAGUUUUCUUUAUCUGUGUUAGUUUGCUAGGGCUUCCAUAACAAAAUGCCACAAACUGAGGAUCUGAAAGUCUGACACCAAGGUGUUGGCAGAGCCAUACUUCCUCUGAAGGCCCCAUUCUAGGCCUCUCUCCUAGCUUCUGGUAGUUCCUUGGCUUGUGGCAUCAGAACUCCAAACUUCACAUAGCAUUAUUCCCGUGUGCUUGCCUUGUGUCCAAAUUUCUCCUUUUUAGAAGUCAGUCCAAUCAUAUUGGAUUAGGGGCCUAUCCUACUCUGGG